rnacentral:tRNA from 1 species
GUGGGUAUAGCUCGGUGGUAGAGCAUAUGCUUAGCAUGCAUGAGGUCCUGGGUUCAAUCCCAAGUACCUCCA